CUUUUAUGAUGGCAAUYGUCAGUYCCAAAUGUUUAUUUUYGCCUUUYGUUGCCCUUUGUAGGGUGACGAGAGGUGAACCACAAAGUAAUCUYUACGUCCCACUCCGCUCACAUUYAAUUGUUGACGCGGCUUGGUGCAUAGGGAAUUAGCUUGAGCUCUUGGAUGCGGUGUAUUUGUUUUGGGCAUGAGGUGUAACAUCCUCUUUUUGCCCAAUCAAAGCUUUCAUCGCUUAGUUGCGCACGAUUGCAAUCCCCGUUUCAAGCCUUUUGGCAAGUGCGGUGAUUGCAUCGUUGAGG
rnacentral:misc_RNA from 1 species